rnacentral:rRNA from 1 species
CUUAAAGGAAUUGACGGAAGGGCACACAAGGAUUGGAGCCUGCGGCUCAAUUUGACUCAACACGGGAAAGCUCACCCGAACCGGACACAAGAAGGAUUGACAGAUUAAGAGCUCUUUCUUGAUUUUGUGGGUGGUGGUGCAUGGCCGCUCUUAGUUGGUGGAGCGAUUUGUCUGGUUCAUUCCGAUAACGAACGAGAUUCCGCCCUGCUAAAUAGUCGUCCCGGUCCUCCCAGCCGGACGCUUCUUCUUAGAGGGACAGGCGGCAUAGAGUCGCACGAAGCGGAGCACUAGCAGGUCUGUGAUGCCCUUUAGAUGUCCGGGGCCGCACGCGCGCUACAUUGAAGGAAUCAGCGUGUGAUCUCCCUGCCCGACAGGGCCGGGUAACCCGUUGAAACUCCUUCGUGCUGGGGAUAGGCGACUGUAAUUACCGCCUUGAACGAGGAAUUCCCAGUAAGCGCGAGUCAUCAGCUCGUGCUGAUUACGUCCCUGGCCUUUGUCCACACCGCCCGUCGCUACAACUGAUUGAAUGAUUUAGUGAGGUCUUCGGACUGGCCCUCGGACUGGCCUCCGGGUCGGGCCGGCGUGCCGG